CGGGACACGUGGUAUCCUGUCUGAAUAUGGGGGGACCAUCCUCCAAGGCUAAAUACUCCUGACUGACCGAUAGUGAACCAGUACCGUGAGGGAAAGGCGAAAAGAACCCCGGCGAGGGGAGUGAAAAAGAACCUGAAACCGUGUACGUACAAGCAGUGGGAGCACGCUUAGGCGUGUGACUGCGUACCUUUUGUAUAAUGGGUCAGCGACUUAUAUUCUGUAGCAAGGUUAACCGAAUAGGGGAGCCGAAGGGAAACCGAGUCUUAACUGGGCGUUAAGUUGCAGGGUAUAGACCCGAAACCCGGUGAUCUAGCCAUGGGCAGGUUGAAGGUUGGGUAACACUAACUGGAGGACCGAACCGACUAAUGUUGAAAAAUUAGCGGAUGACUUGUGGCUGGGGGUGAAAGGCCAAUCAAACCGGGAGAUAGCUGGUUCUCCCCGAAAGCUAUUUAGGUAGCGCCUCGUGAAUUCAUCUCCGGGGGUAGAGCACUGUUUCGGCAAGGGGGUCAUCCCGACUUACCAACCCGAUGCAAACUGCGAAUACCGGAGAAUGUUAUCACGGGAGACACACGGCGGGUGCUAACGUCCGUCGUGAAGAGGGAAACAACCCAGACCGCCAGCUAAGGUCCCAAAGUCAUGGUUAAGUGGGAAACGAUGUGGGAAGGCCCAGACAGCCAGGAUGUUGGCUUAGAAGCAGCCAUCAUUUAAAGAAAGCGUAAUAGCUCACUGGUCGAGUCGGCCUGCGCGGAAGAUGUAACGGGGCUAAACCAUGCACCGAAGCUGCGGCAGCGACGCUGAUGCGUUGUUGGGUAGGGGAGCGUUCUGUAAGCCUGUGAAGGUGUGCUGUGAGGCAUGCUGGAGGUAUCAGAAGUGCGAAUGCUGACAUAAGUAACGAUAAAGCGGGUGAAAAGCCCGCUCGCCGGAAGACCAAGGGUUCCUGUCCAACGUUAAUCGGGGCAGGGUGAGUCGACCCCUAAGGCGAGGCCGAAAGGCGUAGUCGAUGGGAAACAGGUUAAUAUUCCUGUACUUGGUGUUACUGCGAAGGGGGGACGGAGAAGGCUAUGUUGGCCGGGCGACGGUUGUCCCGGUUUAAGCGUGUAGGCUGGUUUUCCAGGCAAAUCCGGAAAAUCAAGGCUGAGGCGUGAUGACGAGGCACUACGGUGCUGAAGCAACAAAUGCCCUGCUUCCAGGAAAAGCCUCUAAGCAUCAGGUAACAUCAAAUCGUACCCCAAACCGACACAGGUGGUCAGGUAGAGAAUACCAAGGCGCUUGAGAGAACUCGGGUGAAGGAACUAGGCAAAAUGGUGCCGUAACUUCGGGAGAAGGCACGCUGAUAUGUAGGUGAAGCGACUUGCUCGUGGAGCUGAAAUCAGUCGAAGAUACCAGCUGGCUGCAACUGUUUAUUAAAAACACAGCACUGUGCAAACACGAAAGUGGACGUAUACGGUGUGACGCCUGCCCGGUGCCGGAAGGUUAAUUGAUGGGGUCAGCGCAAGCGAAGCUCUUGAUCGAAGCCCCGGUAAACGGCGGCCGUAACUAUAACGGUCCUAAGGUAGCGAAAUUCCUUGUCGGGUAAGUUCCGACCUGCACGAAUGGCGUAAUGAUGGCCAGGCUGUCUCCACCCGAGACUCAGUGAAAUUGAACUCGCUGUGAAGAUGCAGUGUACCCGCGGCAAGACGGAAAGACCCCGUGAACCUUUACUAUAGCUUGACACUGAACAUUGAGCCUUGAUGUGUAGGAUAGGUGGGAGGCUUUGAAGUGUGGACGCCAGUCUGCAUGGAGCCGGCCUUGAAAUACCACCCUUUAAUGUUUGAUGUUCUAACGUUGACCCGUGAUCCGGGUUGCGGACAGUGUCUGGUGGGUAGUUUGACUGGGGCGGUCUCCUCCUAAAGAGUAACGGAGGAGCACGAAGGUUGGCUAAUCCUGGUCGGACAUCAGGAGGUUAGUGCAAUGGCAUAAGCCAGCUUGACUGCGAGCGUGACGGCGCGAGCAGGUGCGAAAGCAGGUCAUAGUGAUCCGGUGGUUCUGAAUGGAAGGGCCAUCGCUCAACGGAUAAAAGGUACUCCGGGGAUAACAGGCUGAUACCGCCCAAGAGUUCAUAUCGAC
rnacentral:rRNA from 1 species